rnacentral:rRNA from 1 species
CGGGUCAACGCGCCCACCAAUGGCGAUGCAUAGCAUAGCCGGCGGUCUUGAUGAGGCUAGAACGGCCACAUUGCGAGUACUUGAGACACUGGCCCAGACUCAUACGGGAGGCAGCAGUAGGGAAUUUUCGGCAAUGGGGUGAAACCCUGACCGAGCAACGCCGCGUGAGUGAUGAAGGUCUUCGGAUUGUAAAGCUCUGUUCGUCAAGGGAAGAAUGAACUUGGAUAGAAUCCGAUUGUGACGGUACCUUACCAGAAAGCUACGGCUAACUACGUGCCAGCAGCCGCGGUAAUACGUAGGUAGCGAGCGUUAUCCGGAAUUAUUGGGCGUAAAGGGUGCGUAGGCGGCUUGUUAAGUUUAACGGUGAACACGAAUGGGGCUCAACCCCAUUAAAGCCCUUAGAAUACUUGGCAAGCUAGAAGUACCUCGGAGAGGGUAGUGGAAUUCCAUGUGUAGCGGUAAAAUGCGUAGAUAUAUGGAGGAACACCGGUGGCGAAGGCGGCUACCUAGACAGAGACUGACGCUGAGGCACGAAAGCGUGGGGAGCAAAUAGGAUUAGAUACCCUAGUAGUCCACGCCGUAAACGAUGAAUGCUAGAUAUCGGGGCAACUCGGUGUCGAAACUAACGCGAUAAGCAUUCCGCCUGUGGAGUAUGCACGCAAGUGUGAAACAUAAAGGAAUUGACGGGGGCCCGCACAAGCGGUGGAGUAUGUGGUUUAAUUCGACGCAACGCGAAGAACCUUACCAGGCCUUGACAUCCCUUGCAAAACUCUAGAGAUAGAGCAGAGGUUAUCAAGGACAGGUGGUGCAUGGUUGUCGUCAGCUCGUGUCGUGAGAUGUUGGGUUAAGUCCCGCAACGAGCGCAACCCUUGUCUUCAGUUACCAUCAUUAAGUUGGGGACUCUGGAGAGACUGCCGGUGAUAAACCGGAGGAAGGUGGGGAUGACGUCAAAUCAUCAUGCCCCUUAUGGCCUGGGCUACACACGUACUACAAUGGCUGUUACAACGUGAAGCAACACUGUGAAGUGAAGCGAAUCACUAAAAGGCAGUCUCAGUUCGGAUUGAAGUCUGCAACUCGACUUCAUGAAGUUGGAAUCGCUAGUAAUCGCGGAUCAGCAUGCCGCGGUGAAUACGUUCUCGGGCCUUGUACACACCGCCCGUCAUACCAUGAGAGCUGGCAAUACCCGAAGCCGGUGGCCUAACCGCAAGGAAUGAAGCCGUCGAAGUAGGCUAGUGAUGGUC